UUGCCUCAGUAGCGGCGAGCGAAGCGGCAACAGCCCAGAUUUGAAAUCUGGCCUUCGGGUCCGAAUUGUAAUCUGCAGAGGAUGCUUUAGGCAAGGCACCGGCCAAGUUCCCUGGAAUGGGACGCCUUAGAGGGUGAGAGCCCCGUAGUGCUGGCUGCCACGCCAUUGUAUAGCUCCCUCGAAGAGUCGCGUAGUUUGGGAAUGCUGCGCAAAUAGGGAGGUAUAUCUCUCCUAAGGCUAAAUACCUGCCAGAGACCGAUAGCGCACAAGUAGAGUGAUCGAAAGAUGAAAAGAACUUUGAAAAGAGGGUUAAAUAGUAUGUGAAAUUGCUAAAAGGGAAGCGCUUAUGGCUAGACUUGGUGGUGGUGGAGCAAUCUGCUGCUACUGGGCCGGGCACCAGUUUACGUUGGGGGGUAAAGGCGGCGGGAACGUGGCUCCUCCGGGAGUGUUAUAGCCCGCCGUGUAAUACCCUGGUGUAGACUGAGGCUCUCGCUUCGGCAAGGGUGCCGGCAUAAUGGCCAUCAGCGGCCCGUCUUGAAACACGGACCAAGGAGUCGUCUUCGUAUGCGAGUGUUUGGGUGUCAAACCCAAGCGCGUAAUGAAAGUGAACGUUGGUGAGAGCUGCGGCGCAUCAUCGACCGAUCCUGAAGUUUACAGAUGGAUUUGAGUAAGAGCAUACGGGGCCGGACCCGAAAGAAGGUGAACUAUGCGUGUGUAGGGUGAAGCCAGAGGAAACUCUGGUGGAGGCUCGCAGCGGUUCUGACGUGCAAAUCGAUCGUCAAACAUGCGCAUGGGGGCGAAAGACUAAUCGAACCUUCUAGUAGCUGGUUUCCGCCGAAGUUUCCCUCAGGAUAGCAGUGUUGGUACCCCAGUUUUAUGAGGUAAAGCGAAUGAUUAGGGAACCGGGGGCGCUUUUUAGCCUUCAUCCAUUCUCAAACUUUAAAUGUGUAAGAAGCCCUUGUUACUUAAUUGAACGUGGGCAUUCGAAUGCAACAACACUAGUGGGCCAUUUUUGGUAAGCAGAACUGGCGAUGCGGGAUGAACCGAACGUGGGGUUGCGGCGCCUAAAUCAACGCUCAUCAGACACCACAAAAGGUGUUAGCACAUCUUGACAGCAGGACGGUGGCCAUGGAAGUCGGAAUCCGCUAAGGACUGUGUAACAACUCACCUGCCGAAUGUGCUAGCCCUGAAAAUGGAUGGCGCUCAAGCGUUGUGCCUAUACCCCGCCCUCAGCGUAGGCUCGGACGCGCUGAGGAGUAGGUGGACGUGGCCGUCGUGACGAAGCC
rnacentral:rRNA from 1 species